rnacentral:rRNA from 1 species
AAAACAUCUCUUUUUGAAUAAAAUAAUAAGUUGACUCUGCUCUAUGAUAUUAUUUAAUGGCUGCAGUAUUUUAACUGUACAAAGGUAGCAUAAUAAAUUGUUUUUUAAAUGGAAACUAGUAUGAAAGAGGUGAUGAAAUAUAAACUUUAUUAGGUUUAAAAUUUGAAUUUAUCUUUAAAGUUAAAAGACUUUAAUAAUUUUAAGGGACGAGAAGACCCUAUAGAAUUUAAUAAUAAAUUCAAUAAUAUGUGAUUGAGUUUAUUAUUUGUUUGGGAGGAAUAUUAAAUUGAAAAACUUUAAUUUUUAUUUUACAUAUAUAAAUGAAUUAAAAUAUAUUUUAUUAUUUAAAUAUAAAAUUAAAUUACCUUAGGGAUAACAGCGUAAUAUUAUUUUAUAGUUCUUAUAGAAAAUAAUGUUU